rnacentral:rRNA from 1 species
AUUCCAGCUCCAAUAGCGUAUAUUAAAGUUGUUGUGGUUAAAAAGCUCGUAGUUGGAUCUCGGCGGUCUGAGGGCGGUUCGCUUCAGAGCGCUACUGCCCUAUAGACCGUAGUUUUGCCAGAGGUCUCAGGGUGCUCUUAACCGAGUGUCUUGCGAUGCUGGCAGGUUUACUUUGAAAAAAUUAGAGUGCUCAAAGCAGGCUUUUACGCCUGAAUAUUCGUGCAUGGAAUAAUAGAAUAGGAAGUCGUUUCUAUUUUGUUGGUUUGCGUACCUAGGUAAUGAUUAAUAGGGACAGUUGGGGAUAUUACUAUUUCGUUGUCAGAAGUGAAAUUCUUGGAUUUACGAAAGAGUAACUACUGCGAAAGCAUUUAUCAAGGAUGUUUUCAUCA